GCUCGGGGAAGCGGCAAAGUUGGAUCUGGGAGGGCGUCCGCUGCGGCUGCGGGAGCCGAAAGGCUGCCAGUUCCCGGCAGCGCUGGGAGGAGGGAGGCGCGGGCGGGGCGCGGCGCCGGGGAGGGGAGCGGUGCUCAGGGGAGGGCUGGAGGGGAGGGAAGGAGAGAGAGAGGGGAGGGCGGCACCGCCCCUAGCCCCGCGCUCCGGAAGUGAAGCGGCCAGACCACCAGCUAAUGGAUGCGGAGCGGAGGGCCCGCUGACCGCUCUCCGCGCCUGGACAGAGUCUCACACUGUCACCCAGGCUGGAAUGCAAUGGUGCAAACGCAACUCACUGUAGCCUUGACCCACUCGGCUCAAGCAGUCCUCCCUCCUCAGCCUCCCAAGUAGUUGGGACUACAGAGCAGCUUGGCUUGGCUGGAGCUAAGAGCCAGACACACCACUGUGUGGAGGUGGGUGAUGUCUUCCUGUGCUAAAAGGUGAAUAAAUAAGCUCCUCACCUCUCGCGGAACACUCGGGAACACAUCAACAGGGGUCCAAGCCGCCCUGCUGGGAGGCUUCUCUUCAAGAGUUCUGGGUCCCAGAGUGGAAGGCAUUUUCCCAUCAACUGGAGAGAGACGAAACAUCAGAGACCAGGAGGCUGUGGAGAAAGCAGCUGUCCCAGGUGCCUCAACUAUCAGAGAAGGGUCAGCGUCACGUGGCUGCCAGCAUCUUUGAGAAAAUCACUGGCAAUCGGACUUCAGAGCUGCGGGCACAGGUGUGGU
rnacentral:lncRNA from 10 species